rnacentral:rRNA from 5 species
GUCAGCUCGUGUCGUGAGAUGUUGGGUUAAGUCCCGCAACGAGCGCAACCCUUGAUCUUAGUUGCCAUCAUUUAGUUGGGCACUCUAAGGUGACUGCCGGUGACAAACCGGAGGAAGGUGGGGAUGACGUCAAAUCAUCAUGCCCCUUAUGACCUGGGCUACACACGUGCUACAAUGGACGAUACAAACGGUUGCCAACUCGCGAGAGGGAGCUAAUCCGAUAAAGUCGUUCUCAGUUCGGAUUGUAGGCUGCAACUCGCCUACAUGAAGCCGGAAUCGCUAGUAAUCGCGGAUCAGCAUGCCGCGGU